CAGAGAGUAGUUAAACAAGAAUCCUGGCUUUGGGAGCCAGAGGUGGGAGUUGAAAUCUCUCCUUUCUGA
rnacentral:tRNA from 1 species